rnacentral:rRNA from 1 species
GAUGAACGCUGGCGGCGUGCCUAAUACAUGCAAGUCGAGCGAACGGACGAGAAGCUUGCUUCUCUGAUGUUAGCGGCGGACGGGUGAGUAACACGUGGAUAACCUACCUAUAAGACUGGGAUAACUUCGGGAAACCGGAGCUAAUACCGGAUAAUAUUUUGAACCGCAUGGUUCAAAAGUGAAAGACGGUCUUGCUGUCACUUAUAGAUGGAUCCGCGCUGCAUUAGCUAGUUGGUAAGGUAACGGCUUACCAAGGCAACGAUGCAUAGCCGACCUGAGAGGGUGAUCGGCCACCCUGGAACUGAGACACGGUCCAGACUCCUACGGGAGGCAGCAGUAGGGAAUCUUCCGCAAUGGGCGAAAGCCUGACGGAGUAACGCCGCGUGAGUGAUGAAGGCCUUCGGAUCGUAAAACUCUGUUAUUAGGGAAGAACAUAUGUGUAAGUAACUGUGCACAUCUUGACGGUACCUAAUCAGAAAGCCACGGCUAACUACGUG